rnacentral:snRNA from 1 species
GUGCUCGCUUUGGCAGCACAUAUACUAAAAUUGGAACAGUACAGAGAAUAUUAGCAUGGCCCAUGCCCAAGGAAGACACGCAAAUUCAUGAAGCAUUCCAUAUUU